AAAUGAAAGAUUUGGGGAAGGCUUCAAGAAUUCUGGGUAUGGAUAUCAUAAGAGAUAGAGAAAAGGGAGAAUUAAUUCUGUCUCAGGGAAACUACUUGGAGAAAGUGUUAAAAACAUUUGGAAUGUUUGAAGCAAGACCAGUGAUUACACCAACUGCUGCUCAUUUCAAACUCAGAAGUUUGUCAGAAGAGGAAAAGAAAACAGAAGUUGUACACAUGGAAAGAAUUCCAUAUGCAAGUGCUGUGGGGAGUUUAAUGUAUGCCAUGGUUGGUUCAAGGCCAGAUUUAGCAUUUGCAGUGGGUUUAAUCAGCAGGUUUAUGUCAAAUCCAGGAAGAGAUCAUUGGUCUGCAGUGAAAUGGGUGUUAAGGUACUUAAAAGGUGCAUACACUCAAAACUUGAUUUUUAAGAAGGAUUCUAAGUUCUGCAUUAAAGGAUUUUCAGAUUCAGAUUAUGCGACAGACUUAGAUCGGAGAAGAUCAGUGACGGGUUUUGUGUUUAAGGCUGGUGGAAACAUAAUUUCAUGGAAAUCAAGUUUACAAUCUGUUGUGGCUAUUUCAACCACAGAAGCAGAGUAUAUGGCUCUAACGGAAGCAGUGAAAGAAGCCAUUUGGUUGAAAGGUUUGUGUUCAGAAUUGGGUUUUAAGCAAGACAGUGUUAAGGUUCAUUGUGAUUCACAGAGUGCUCUAGCCCUAGCAAAGAAUUCAGUUCAUCACGAAAGAACCAAGCACAUAGACACUAAAUUUCAUUUCAUCAGAGAUAUAGUGUCUAAGGGUGAAGUUGUUCUACACAAAAUACACACAACAGUCAAUCCAGCAGAUUUCCUAACUAAGACGGUACCUGGCCAGAAGUUCCAGCUUUGCUGCGAGCUUCUCAACAUCCACUAAGGUGGAGCUGCGGCUACAGGUAACUCCAACAGUCUCGCAAAACAGGUUGAAACAAGAUGAUUCAGUUUUGUGAGAAGUACUCAAGUGUCAGAAUUGAGUAAAGCUUUAAAUUGGAGUUGGUGUUACGUGUUAAGUACUGGAACUGUGUAGGAGUUGCAAGUUCCAGGUGGAGUAU
rnacentral:lncRNA from 1 species